CACGUAGGGGGCAAGCGUUGUCCGGAUUUAUUGGGCGUAAAGAGCUCGUAGGCGGCUCGGUAAGUUGGGCGUUAAACCCCCAGGCUUAACCUGGGGACGCCACCCGAUACUGCCGCGGCUAGAGUCCGGUAGGGGAGCGUGGAAUUCCUGGUGUAGCGGUGAAAUGCGCAGAUAUCAGGAGGAACACCAGCGGCGAAGGCGGGUCUCUGGGCAGUAACUGACGCUGAGGAGCGAAAGCGUGGGGAGCGAACAGG
rnacentral:rRNA from 1 species